AGAUUCGGCAUCCUGGAAACGUUUGGUAACACAUGUACCCACCGUGAAUUGCUGUAUCACAAAAAAACCAACUGUGCCGGGUUUUCCAAGGAGGCUCUCCACACCACACCACCCUGCCACUGCCAGAAGCCUCUGGAAAGGACCUACAGAAGUGUGUCUUAGCAAGGGGUACCAGUGUGGCCUUCGCAAGUCACCUAUCCCUUUAAUUUGCAAAGGUAUUCAGAAUGCUUCUACUCCACAAACCAACUAGAACCCCAGCGAUAAAUGUCAGCACCUUAUGGGCCGCCUCAGUUUCCCCCUCCAAGACUCAGGCCCUCCCCCUACGAUCACUACCUGAUGCCAUGGAAAUCAGCAUGUGACCGCAGGCCACCUCGAUUCUUCAGCGGUUCCAGGGUCCUAUGGCUAGCCUUAUCUGAUGAGAUGGAAAGCUCACGGGUGGCGAGUGACUGCUUCUAUCGACUAAUGUGUGCCAGACAAUGUCGAUGGAGGGUUAAGACAUGGCCCCUAUCUUCAAGUAUCUCACGGAAGGAAAAAAAAAAAAAACGAUCCUGUGCAAAACUAAGCGCAGUCACAGAGAUGUAAACAGGAGCCAAGGCGCCGAGAACAGAGCGGCUUCAGCGGCAGGGUCCCGGUGGACUUAGGAGGCUGCAUAGAUACCUCUCUGCUGCCACACAGCAGGGGAGACUGUCCUGGGACCGUUUGCACAAAAUCAAGUUCAAGUUGCAGGAGCUGGCGGCACCCAUUGGCAGGCACUGGUUGUGACUCUCCAGUAUUCCCCUACAGAACCAAGAGGACGGUCCUGGUUUUCGGAAACGAAACAGAGUGUUCAAAACUUGCAUCCUAGAAAAUCCGAGAUACUGGUGACUUUGGCUACAAUUAUUGUAAAAUUAAACAUUUUAUGUUUGGCACUUAA